rnacentral:rRNA from 1 species
UACGGAGGGUGCAAGCGUUGUCCGGAAUCACUGGGCGUAAAGGGCGCGUAGGCGGCUCAUGAAGGCUGUGGUGAAAGUCCGGGGCUCAACCUCGGAUCGGCCGUGGCGACUCGUGGGCUGGAGCACUGUAGAGGCGGGUGGAAUUCCGGGUGUAGCGGUGGAAUGCGUAGAGAUCCGGAGGAAGACCGGUGGCGAAGGCGGUCUGCUGGGCAGUUUCUGACACUGAGGCGCGACAGCGUGGGGAGCAAACAGG